UACGAAGGGGGCUAGCGUUGUUCGGAAUUACUGGGCGUAAAGCGCACGUAGGCGGAUACUUAAGUUAGGGGUGAAAUCCCGGGGCUCAACCCCGGAACUGCCUUUGAUACUGGGUAUCUGGAGUCCGAGAGAGGUGAGUGGAAUUCCGAGUGUAGAGGUGAAAUUCGUAGAUAUUCGGAGGAACACCAGUGGCGAAGGCGGCUCACUGGCUCGGUACUGACGCUGAGAAGCGAAAGCAUGGGGAGCGAACAGG
rnacentral:rRNA from 1 species